rnacentral:rRNA from 1 species
AUUGAACGCUGGCGGCAUGCCUUACACAUGCAAGUCGAACGGUAACAGGUCUUCGGAUGCUGACGAGUGGCGAACGGGUGAGUAAUACAUCGGAACGUGCCCGAUCGUGGGGGAUAACGCAGCGAAAGCUGUGCUAAUACCGCAUACGAUCUACGGAUGAAAGCGGGGGAUCGCAAGACCUCGCGCGGACGGAGCGGCCGAUGGCAGAUUAGGUAGUUGGUGGGAUAAAAGCUUACCAAGCCGACGAUCUGUAGCUGGUCUGAGAGGACGACCAGCCACACUGGGACUGAGACACGGCCCAGACUCCUACGGGAGGCAGCAGUGGGGAAUUUUGGACAAUGGGGGAAACCCUGAUCCAGCCAUGCCGCGUGCAGGAUGAAGGCCUUCGGGUUGUAAACUGCUUUUGUACGGAACGAAAAGGUCCUUUCUAAUAAAGAGGGCUCAUGACG